UUCCCAGCUAACAUUGGUCCGACGGCAACGUCGUGUCCCUGGCCAAAAAUAGUCGCGGUAGGACGGCAUAAAUCCGUAAAAAUAUGUAACACAGAACUCUGCCUAAAAAUGCAUUCAGAUACGUUUGUACAUGCAUAAAGUUCUCUGGGGUUGCAUAUAUAAUUAUUACUUUAAGUUUUAGCUCCGUGUAGUGCAAUACAUACACUGUUGUGAACCAGUUGUGAGAGGACGUCCACAAGGUGACGUCCUUUACACGUGCAUUUAUAGUCCAUCAUGACCCUGUAUGAAAUCAGUAUGAAAUAUGCAAAAGCAAUUGUGCUUACACCUUGAUUAUUACUGUAAUACUUUAUUUAAGUGCCCCAAGUAGUUUUAAGACGACCACGUCUAGUCAAGCAUUACCCAUUCAAAAUAAAUAAAGAAAUAAGUAAAUUAGUAAAUAAAAACAGGAAAUCGUAAUGAAAUAAACGUAAUUUGGUAUUUCUAUCUUGUUUAAUUAAUAUGUGCCAUAUGGUUAAGUGAUUGCAAAGCCACUGAAUUUUAGUUAUAAUUCUACCCGUUUUCCAUAAAUUUCAAUACGAUUUUAUUAUUUUAAGUUUAUGCAUAUACAUAUAAAACAGAUAUCUCUGGUCAACAUUUGAAGUCUGGGUGAAGAUUACCAAAACUGUGCUGCCAAGAUGUUGCAACAAAUCUCGCGGUGGGAUAGAUUAUCUCGCGAUAGGAUAGAUUAUCUCGCGAUGGGAUAGAUUAUCUCGCGAUAGGAUAGAUUAUCUCGCGAUGGGAUAGAUUAUCUCGCAAUACAAUACAUUAUCUCGCGAGAAAGCCUUAACGUUUUUCUUUCCAUAAACACAAGGAAAGCGCAUCGGUGUGUUGUAAGGCUUUACAAAUUAUUCUACUAAAAUCUACUGGUGGUGGAUGUUCAAAUCACACCUGCACGUACAAACCUAUCAACAUUCACGCCUUCACCAGUAGCAACUGGGCUGUCACACUUCCAGGAGGAAAGAACAGGACAAUUUAAUCCAACCUCACUGGAUCUUCAAAGACAGAGGCAAAGGACCACAUCUCAUGAAAUGGCUACCCCCAGAUGACAAUUUACUCAAACCCUACUGGAUCUUCAAGUAAGACCGAGGCAAAGGCCCACAUCUCAUGAAACGGCUACCCCCAGAAUGGAUGCACAACAUGACACCAGUGGAGGUCGAGGUUAACAUCAACAACACUCGUGGACCCGUGGACACGUGUUGAGGCGGUCACAUAACGAACAGCCAUCUGUCAGACAGAAAAAUUCAGGAACCCUCUUCCAGGCCAUGUGCCAAAACCGAAUGAGUAUUGUCUCCAGUCCCAAAUUCAUCAUUGCCAUCCCAGUCCCAGACGACCCCCCAGUCUGCAUUGCGGAGAGAGCACAGAAGUGAGGGUGGCACCAGACCCUCACGGAGCGCUUACCCUAUGUCAACUGCAAUCUUGCUCUUCAGUUUUUGCAGCCCUAUAUUCACCGAAAUCAGCAGGCAAUGAAGACUGGUUUAGGUUCUAAAAAAACAGUCAAGCCUAAUGCCCUGCGUAAACACAAAAUGUGACAGCAAGUGUCAUGUUCACUUUUGGAGUUUAAGUAGUCUUGUUUGAAGGGUGUGUGUAUAUAUUAAUGUGCUGAUUUUUCUUUCAGGAUUCCAAAGGAAGGUCUUUUUUCAUGCUGUUUGGUUUAAAAGAUGAACUUGAGCGAAUAUCUGCCAUUCUGGACCCUGGCAAGUCUACAUCAUCUUUUAAAAGACUGGAUUAAGAGAGUGACCUAAAAUCCUUUGAAGAAUACAUCAAAGAUGAUGAAAAGAAGUGGAUCUGUGUUCAGCAACUGUCCAGAGUUGGUGGAUCUUCUGUCAGGGACUGCGUUAACCAAAUCAUGAACAGAGUCAUGUCAAAUGCCUUAAUGGCCAAAUUCAAUAUGAGGGGUGGUGGCCAACAUGACAAAAAGCCUUUCAAAGCUACAGCUUUGUACUAUGUAAUUCAAGAUAUGCUCUAAAGAGGUGGAGUCCAACUGCCACAGAUUCCGAAAUUGACACAGCAGUGGCGGAACACCUAAAACAUGCUCCAGGAUAAGCUGGGGGUGGUGGCUAUGAAAUGAGCUGUGCUACAGAAAUGUGCUAUAGUAAACAUUUUGAAAUAAUAGUAAAUAAAUAAAGAUUAUAAAUAUA